CUAUAAUGCAAGUUGAGCGCUGAAGGUUGGUACUUGUACCAACUGGAUGAGCAGCGAACGGGUGAGUAACGCGUGGGGAAUCUGCCUUUGAGCGGGGGACAACAUUUGGAAACGAAUGCUAAUACCGCAUAAAAACUUUAAACACAAGUUUUAAGUUUGAAAGAUGCAAUUGCAUCACUCAAAGAUGAUCCCGCGUUGUAUUAGCUAGUUGGUGAGGUAAAGGCUCACCAAGGCGAUGAUACAUAGCCGACCUGAGAGGGUGAUCGGCCACAUUGGGACUGAGACACGGCCCAAACUCCUACGGGAGGCAGCAGUAGGGAAUCUUCGGCAAUGGACGAAAGUCUGACCGAGCAACGCCGCGUGAGUGAAGAAGGUUUUCGGAUCGUAAAACUCUGUUGGUAGAGAAGAACGUUGGUGAGAGUGGAAAGCUCAUCAAGUGACGGUAACUACCCAGAAAGGGACGGCUAACUACGUGCCAGCAGCCGCGGUAAUACGUAGGUCCCGAGCGUUGUCCGGAUUUAUUGGGCGUAAAGCGAGCGCAGGUGGUUUAUUAAGUCUGGUGUAAAAGGCAGUGGCUCAACCAUUGUAUGCAUUGGAAACUGGUAGACUUGAGUGCAGGAGAGGAGAGUGGAAUUCCAUGUGUAGCGGUGAAAUGCGUAGAUAUAUGGAGGAACACCGGUGGCGAAAGCGGCUCUCUGGCCUGUAACUGACACUGAGGCUCGAAAGCGUGGGGAGCAAACAGGAUUAGAUACCCUGGUAGUCCACGCCGUAAACGAUGAGUGCUAGAUGUAGGGAGCUAUAAGUUCUCUGUAUCGCAGCUAACGCAAUAAGC
rnacentral:rRNA from 1 species